CUGUUGUAAAAAUAAGAUAGUAUUUCUAAAAUUGGAACGGUAGAGAGAAGAUCCGCGUGGAUGCUGCGCGAGGCUGACACGCAAACACAAGACAGUAUUUCUAGAGCUAU
ensembl:snRNA U6 U6 spliceosomal RNA